rnacentral:sRNA from 1 species
UGCGUGACGAAGCCCGCGGCAAAGUAGACAAUAAAGCCUGAGCUAUGCGUUAGUCGCCCGACGCCGGUUAAUCCGGCGUUUUU